UCGGCCCCGGGUCCGGACGGCCUUCCGGUGAAAUUCUUCCAGACCUUCUGGAAUGUGAUUAAGCCGGAAAUCAUGGCCAUCUUUGACGAGUUCUACGUUGGGACCAUCGACCUCGGGCGCUUCAACUAUGGGAUCAUCUCGCUCAUUCCCAAAGUGUCGGGGGCCUCCGACAUUCGCCAGUUCCGCCCGAUCACGAUGAUCAAUGUGAUCUUCCGGAUUCUGGCAAAGGGGUACGCCAAUAGGGUAACCCUGCUAGCAGACCUCAUU
rnacentral:rRNA from 1 species